CAGCUUGCUGGGGGGAUUAGUGGCGAACGGGUGAGUAACACGUGAGUAACCUGCCCUUAACUCUGGGAUAAGCCUGGGAAACUGGGUCUAAUACCGGAUAUGACUCCUCAUCGCAUGGUGGGGGGUGGAAAGCUUUUUGUGGUUUUGGAUGGACUCGCGGCCUAUCAGCUUGUUGGUGAGGUAAUGGCUCACCAAGGCGACGACGGGUAGCCGGCCUGAGAGGGUGACCGGCCACACUGGGACUGAGACACGGCCCAGACUCCUACGGGAGGCAGCAGUGGGGAAUAUUGCACAAUGGGCGCAAGCCUGAUGCAGCGACGCCGCGUGAGGGAUGACGGCCUUCGGGUUGUAAACCUCUUUCAGUAGGGAAGAAGCGAAAGUGACGGUACCUGCAGAAGAAGCGCCGGCUAACUACGUGCCAGCAGCCGCGGUAAUACGUAGGGCGCAAGCGUUAUCCGGAAUUAUUGGGCGUAAAGAGCUCGUAGGCGGUUUGUCGCGUCUGCCGUGAAAGUCCGGGGCUCAACUCCGGAUCUGCGGUGGGUACGGGCAGACUAGAGUGAUGUAGGGGAGACUGGAAUUCCUGGUGUAGCGGUGAAAUGCGCAGAUAUCAGGAGGAACACCGAUGGCGAAGGCAGGUCUCUGGGCAUUAACUGACGCUGAGGAGCGAAAGCAUGGGGAGCGAACAGGAUUAGAUACCCUGGUAGUCCAUGCCGUAAACGUUGGGCACUAGGUGUGGGGGACAUUCCACGUUUUCCGCGCCGUAGCUAACGCAUUAAGUGCCCCGCCUGGGGAGUACGGCC
rnacentral:rRNA from 1 species